rnacentral:rRNA from 1 species
GACGAACGCUGGCGGCGUGCCUAAUACAUGCAAGUAGAACGCUGAAGGAGGAGCUUGCUCUUCUGGAUGAGUUGCGAACGGGUGAGUAACGCGUAGGUAACCUGCCUGGUAGCGGGGGAUAACUAUUGGAAACGAUAGCUAAUACCGCAUAACAGUAGAUGUUGCAUGACAUUUACUUAAAAGGUGCAAUUGCAUCACUACCAGAUGGACCUGCGUUGUAUUAGCUAGUUGGUGGGGUAACGGCUCCCCAAGGCGACGAUACAUAGCCGACCUGAGAGGGGUAUCGGCCCCACUGGGACUGAGACACGGCCCAGACUCCUACGGGAGGCAGCAGUAGGGAAUCUUCGGCAAUGGACGGAAGUCUGACCGAGCAACGCCGCGUGAGUGAAGAAGGUUUUCGGCUCGUAAAGCUCUGUUGUAAGAGAAGAACGAGUGUGAGAGUGGAAAGUUCACACUGUGACGGUAUCUUACCAGAAAGGGACGGCUAACUACGUG